rnacentral:rRNA from 1 species
GACGAACGCUGGCGGCGUGCUUAAUACAUGCAAGUCAACUUGACUUUAGAUAGCAAUAUCGAAAAGUAGGGUGGUGCACGGGUGCGUAACGCGUAGGUAAUCUGCCCUGAGGUCUGACAUAACCCGUCGAAAGGCGGGCUAACAUCAGAUGAUAUAUAGUCACGACAUCGUGGAAAUAUCAAAUCUUCGGAGCCUUGGGAUGAGCCUGCGUCUGAUUAGGUAGUUGGCGGAGUAAUAGCCCACCAAGCCUACGAUCAGUAGCUGGUCUGAGAGGAUGAUCAGCCACACUGGAACUGAGACACGGUCCAGACUCCUGCGGGAGGCAGCAGUAAGGAAUAUUGCUCAAUGGGGGAAACCCUGAAGCAGCAACGCCGCGUGAAGGAUGAAAUACUUUUGUAUGUAAACUUCUGUAAGAUGGGAAAAAUAUUCUCCUCGGGAGAAUUGAUUGUACCAUCAGAGUAAG